rnacentral:rRNA from 1 species
GACGGAGGAUGCAAGCGUUAUCCGGAAUGAUUGGGCGUAAAGCGUCCGCAGGUGCAGUUCAAGUCUGCUGUCAAAGACCGGGGCUUAACUUCGGAAAGGCAGUGGAAACUGAACCAACUAGAGUAUGGUAGGGGCAGAGGGAAUUCCUGGUGUAGCGGUGAAAUGCGUAGAGAGUGGGGGAGAACACUCGUGGCGAAGGCGGCCAGCUAGACCAGUUCUGACACUGAGGCGCGACAGCGUGGGGAGCAA